GGGUUGUGAGGUUAAGCGACUAAGCGUACACGGUGGAUGCCCUGGCAGUCAGAGGCGAUGAAGGACGUGCUAAUCUGCGAAAAGCGACGGCGAGGUGAUAUGAACCUUUGACCCGUCGAUGUCCGAAUGGGGAAACCCAGUGCAAUCCGUUGCACUAUCGUUAACUGAAUACAUAGGUUAACGAGGCGAACCGGGGGAACUGAAACAUCUAAGUACCCCGAGGAAAAGAAAUCAACCGAGAUUCCCCCAGUAGCGGCGAGCGAACGGGGAGCAGCCCGGAGUCUGAAUCAGCUUGUGUGUUAGUGGAACGGUCUGGAAAGUCCGACGGUACAGGGUGAUAGUCCCGUACACGAAAGCACACUUGCUGUGAACUCGAAGAGUAGGGCGGGACACGUGGUAUCCUGUCUGAAUAUGGGGGGACCAUCCUCCAAGGCUAAAUACUCCUGACUGACCGAUAGUGAACCAGUACCGUGAGGGAAAGGCGAAAAGAACCCCGGCGAGGGGAGUGAAAAAGAACCUGAAACCGUGUACGUACAAGCAGUGGGAGCCUCUUU
rnacentral:rRNA from 1 species